rnacentral:miRNA from 1 species
UAGUUUUAUGUGUAAGCUCGU